rnacentral:misc_RNA from 1 species
GUCUAAAGGGUUUUCUCCCAAUAGCUUUGAUCGUGUGCUGCUUGAUGCUCCUUGCUCUGCAUUAGGUUUAAGACCUCGUCUCUUUGCUGGAGAGGACACAGUUGAUUCCUUGAGGAGUAAUGCCAAAUAUCAGAGACGAAUGUUUGACCAAGCUGUCCAGCUUGUUCGUCCAGGUGGAGUCAUUGUCUAUUCCACAUGUACGAUAAACCCUGGUGAGAAUGAAGCAUUGGUUCGAUAUGCAUUGGACAAAUAUGAGUUUCUCUCGUUGGCAUCUCAGCAUCCAAAAAUUGGAGGACCUGGCCUUACUGGUAGUUGUCAAUUGUCUGAUGGAUUUGUUGAGGAAUGGUUAAAGCCCGGUGAAGAAGAUCUUGUUCAGAGAUUUGAUCCAUCAUCCGACCUUGAUACAAUAGGAUUUUUCAUAGCUAAGUUCAGUGUUGGACCCAAAAAUAUCCGAGUUGAAUGUGACGCGAAGUCUGGGAACAGGUGAUUCGGCAGUGAAAUUACAUUAACUUCGAUGAUAUUAGUUCAGGCCUCUCCUUGUUGUCAACAACAUGCUGGAAUGUGGGUUGCAGAAUUAGUUAAUGUAACUGUGAAUGCAAGAUAGAGUAUUAAAGAUAUUUCAACCUUGC